GGCAGAGGAAGUCCUGCAGACAGACAAACUGCUGGUCGUCUUCAGCAUGAUGAAAAUACAUGUGUACACUUGUCUUCUCUCUGUCUUAACUUUGGUGGAGAUGAAGACUAUCAACACAAAUGGACGUGUUGGGUCAAAUCUGAUCAUCAAAUGCUCACACUGGAACCUUUGGGGUCACGAGAAAGAAAAUGUGAAGUACUUCUGUCGAAGUCCCUGCAACGACAAAGACGUCAUGUAAAAGCAGAAUAUAGAAAGACCAAACGUAAAAAUCAGAUUGAGUUAGAAAACAGUGGAAACUAUUUAUUUGUGACCUUCUUAAAUCUCAAAAGUCAGACUCUGGGAAAUAUUACUGUGGGCUGGAGAGAUUUGGCCGUGAUCCAUUGAUAGAGGUGAAUGUUGAAGUCAAGAAUGCUGAACCUUCUAGUCCUCUGAAGACUCCAAACCCAGUCUUUGUUACUGAUACAACCAGUCCGCCUACAUCUACAAAUGUCCCUACUGUUUUUACUGACAUGUCUACAAACCAAUCCCUGCUUACAGCAGCACCUUAUGCAUCACCUACAACAGGAGCUGGUAUGAAGUGCAUCAGUAUAAAUGACAUAUUGCUUU